rnacentral:rRNA from 1 species
UUCCGGUUGAUCCUGCCGGACCUGACUGCUAUCGGAUUGAUACUAAGCCAUGCUAGUCUUUGUAGUAAUACAAGGCAUACGGCUCAGUAACGCGUAGUCAACCUACCCUAUGGACGGGGAUAAUCUCGGGAAACUGAGCAUAAUACCCGACAGACCACUUCUCCUGGAAUGGUUAGUGGUUAAAAUGAUUCGUCGCCAUAGGAUGGGACUGCGGCCUAUCAGCUUGUUGGUGAGGUAAUGGCCCACCAAGGCGAUUACAGGUACGGGCUCUGAGAGGAGAGGCCCGGAGAUGGGUACUGAGACAAGGACCCAGGCCCUAUGGGGCGCAGCAGGCGAGAAAACUUUGCAAUGUGCGAAAGCACGACAAGGUUAAUCCGAGUGAUUUCUGCUAAAGGAAUCUUUUGUUAGUUCUAAAAAUACUAGUGAAUAAGGGGUGGGCAAGUUCUGGUGUCAGCCGCCGCGGUAAAACCAGCACCUCAAGUGGUCAGGAGGAUUAUUGGGCCUAAAGCAUCCGUAGCCUGUUCUAUAAGUUUGCGGUUAAAUCUAUACGCUCAACGUAUAGGCUGCCGUAAAUACUGUAGAACUAGGGAGUGGGAGAGGUAGACGGUACUCGAUAGGAAGGGGUAAAAUCCUUUGAUCUAUUGAUGACCACCUGUGGCGAAGGCGGUCUACCAGAACACGUUCGACGGUGAGGGAUGAAAGCUGGGGGAGCAAACCGGAUUAGAUACCCGGGUAGUCCCAGCUGUAAACGAUGCAGACUCGAUGAUGCAAUGGCAUAGAGCUAUUGCAGUAUCGCAGGGAAGCCGUUAAGUCUGCCGCCUGGGAAGUACGUACGCAAGUAUGAAACUUAAAGGAAUUGGCGGGGGAGCACCACAAGGGGUGAAGCCUGCGGUUCAAUUGGAGUCAACGCCGGG